GUUGGCAAGACGAAGCUCUCCCUGGUGGCCGCGUUGCUGCUGCUGCUUGGUGCGGCACGUUUGAGGAGAAGGACAAGCAGGGGGACGUGGGCACGUUGGUCUGCGUCAAUCUGGGGACCACCUAGUCCUGCGUCGGCGCGUGGAGAUCAUCGCCAACAAUCAGAGCAACCGCAACACGCCGUCCUAUGUGGCCUUCACUCUUGAAGGGGAGCAUCUGAUCGGCGAUGCCGGCAAGAACCAGCUCACCUCCAACCCCGAGAACACGGUCUUUGACGCCAAGCGGCUCAUCGGCCGCACCUGGAACGACCUGUCUGUGUAGCAGGACAUCAAGUUCUUGCCGUUCAAGGUAGUUGAAAAGAAAACUAAACCAUACAUUUGAGUUGAUAUUGGAGGUGGGCAAACAAAGACAUUUGCUCCUGAAGAAAUUUCUGCCAUGGUUCUCACUAAAAUGAAAUGAACCGCUGAGGCUUAUUUGAGAAAGAAGGUUACCCAUGCAGUUGUUACCAUACCAGCCUAUUUCAAUGAUGCCCAACGCCAAGCAACUGAAGACAUUGGAACUAUUGCUGAGCUAAACAUUAUGAGGAUCAUCAAUGAGCCUAUGGCAGCUGCUAUUGCUUAUGGCCUGGAUAAGAGGGAGGGGGAGAAGGCAUCCUGGUGUUCCACCUGGGUGGCAGAACCUUCAAUGUGUCUCUUCUCACCAUUGAUAAUAGCGUCUUCAAAGUCGUGGCCACUAAUGGAGAUACUCAUCUGGGUGGAGAAGACUUUGACCAGUGUGUCAUGGAACACUUCAUCAAGCUGUACACAAAGAACACUGGCAAAGAUGUCAGGAAAGACAACAGAGCUGUGCAGAAUCUCCAGAGAGAGGUAGAAAAGGCCGGAUAGGCCCUGUCUUCUCAACAUCAAGCAAUAAUUGAAAUUGACUCCUUCUGUGAAGGAGAAGACUUUUCUGAGACCCUGACUCCAGCCAAAUUUGAAGAGCUCAACAUGGAUCUGUUCCAAUCUACUAUGAAGCCCAUCCAGAAAGUGUUGGAAGAUUCUGAUUUGAAGAAGUCUGAUGUUGAUGAACUCGUUCUUCUUGGUGGCUCUACUUGAAUUCCCAAGAUUCAGCAACUGGUUAAAGAGUUCUUCAAUAGCAAGGAACCAUCCAGUGGCAUAAACCCAGAUGAAGCUGCAGUGCAUUGUGCUGCUGUCCAGGCUGGUGUGCUCGCUGGUGAUCAAGAUACAGGUAACAUGGUGCUGCUUGAUGUAUGUCCCCUUACACUUGGUAUUGAAACUGUGGGAGGUGUCAUGACCAAACUGAUUCCAAGGAACACAGUGGUGUCUACCAAGAAGUCUCAGAUAUUUUCUACAGUUUCUGAUAAUCAACCAUUACAAUCAAGGUCUGUGAAGGUGAAUGACCCCUGAUAAAAGACAAUUAUCUUCUGGGUACGUUUGAUCUGACUGGAAUUCCUCCUGCUCCUCAUGGGGUCCCACAGAUUGAAGUUACCUUUGAGAUAGAUGUGAAUGGUAUUCUUUGAGUCACAGCUGAAGACAAGGGUAUAGGGAACAAAAAUAAGAUCACAAUUACCAAUGACCAGAAUCCCCUGACACCUGAAGAAAUCAAAAGGAUGGUUAAUGAUGCUGAGAAGUUUGCUGAGGAAGACAAAAUGUUUAAGGAGUGCAUUGAUACUAGAAAUGAGUUGGAAAGCUAUGCCUAUUCUGUAAAGAAUCAGAUUGAAGAGAGAGAAAAGCUGGGAGGUAAACCUUCCUCUGAAGAUAAGGAGACCAUGGAAAAAGCUGUAGAAGAAAAGACUGAAUGGCUGGAAAGCCAUCAAGCUGCUGACAUUGAAGGCUUCAAAGCUAAGAAGAAGGAUCUGGAAGAAAUUAUUCAGCCAAUUAUCAGCAAACUCUAUGGAAGUGCAGGCCCUCCCCCAGUAGCAAAGAGGAUACAGCAGAAAAAGAUGAGUUGUAGACACAGAUCUGCUAGUGCUGUAAUAUUGUAAAUACUGGACUCAGGAACUUUCCUUAGAAAAAAAUUGAGAGAAGUUAAGUCUAAAAUGUAAUUGGAAUCGUCACCUCAGAGUGGAGUUGAAAAUGCUAUAGCCCAAGUGGCUGUUUACGGCUUUUCAUUAGCAGUUGCUCACAUGUCUUUGGGUUGGGGGCAGAAGAAUUGGCCAUCUUAAAAAGCGGGUAAAAAACCUAGAUUAUGGCAUUUGUUCACCUCAAAAUUUUCUAUUUAACGAUUGGGCUAUGUGCAUCCGGUGUAGGAAGUUUCUUCUGCCCUAAGUGACACCAAUAAAUUUUAGUUAUUUACACUGGUCUAAAAAUACUUUCUCAAAGGAAAAAUUUUUAGAAAGAGUAUCCGAGAAUGUCCAACUUUUGACUGUUGAGUUUAAUCUUCAUAUGAAAUCCUGUUAUAUUUGCAUGAUAGGAAGUUUUUCUCCUUCAGCCUUGAAGCAAUAGUUUCAGACUUUUUAGGACAGAGGACACAUUACCGAGCUAGCCACUUGGGCAUGUCCCUUGAAAUCAUGGUACUCCUUUUUGUGUUUUUAGUAUCAAGAAGCAAUUGUUUUUAUUGUUGUUUCUUUGUUGUUAUUGUUGUUUUUUUGUUUCAUUUCAAACACUCAGGAAAUUGUCAUUCCCUAAAUGGUCAGCUGACCUCAGGAUAGAUAAACAGAACUCUGUAAAUCUCUUUGCAUACUGAAAAGAAUGGCAUUGCCUGAUAGUGAUUGGAUCAUAAUCAUAAUUUUCAUCAUUUUCUUCAAUAUGCAAUGUAAACAAUACUCAGACUAUGGAUUGAAAGUCAAUGCAAAGUCCUUUUAAUUAAAGUAAAUUUGUUCUUUCUUAAUCCUCAUAUAGCUGAAGUUGAAUCACCAUUGCAUACCUCCCUCAUGCUGUGUUUGCACAAAUGCAAAGAGCAAAUUCAUACUCUGCACAUUAAUUAAUACAGCUAUAAAAUAAAGUAUCUGUUAGAAUACAUAUUAGAAAGUAAUUACUUUUACAGAAUAUGUCAUUAAUUUAGUGUGUCAUCACGCAUUGUUAUUUAACAAAGAAAUGUUGCCAAUAACUCAUUUUGUUUUCUCUCUGGGUAUAGUAUUUGUAAUUAUCUCUGCAAUUAUUUCUACAAAAUUUUUGGAAAUAGUAUUAUUUAUUCUUCUUUUUGCUUUGAGAAAUGCAGUUUUGAAUGAUGACCCUAAAGUUGUGUGCCUUCUCCACAAACAAUUGUAGAGUUAAUCAAGUUUGUACAGGGAAAUGUAAUUUUGCACUUAUUCUGAAAAAUCACAAUUUGGAAGUUUUAUAAGUAAUAUGUUAAAAACUAGAGGCAAAUGGAUUGUUGGAAUCCAAUAUAGUCUAGUUUUCUGAGAGUCAUAUUUCUUAUUUGCCCCAUUUUUAAAUGGAUUUCUUUGAAAUCUCUACAAUAACACUUGCUGACAGAUACAUAUUCACAUCCUAUAUUUUUACUCAAAUUCUAUUCAUGAUAAAUAUUUACUAUAUCCUAUGUGUUGUAACAUUGUGUUUCUAUUCUUAUCAUUGCAAUUAUGACUCAGGAAUUGCUUUUAGGUAAUUAGUUUAUUUGGAGAAACUAGUAAUAGAAUACAACCAAUGGUAAAAUAUGACAACUAAAAAUUUGAUAAGCCUACAUAAACCAAUGACAAGAAAAAUCUCAAGAACAAUUAUACCUCUAAAGUAAAUAUUAGGGAGAAAACUGACAUUGCAGUACAUUCCUAACAAGUAAGAGCAUAGUCAUUACUAAAAACAGAACAGAAUGUCUAUAAAGAUUAUCUUAAUUUGUAAAUUGCUAAGUAUAGGAUUAUAUUUAUUCAUAUUUUACUCUAAAAGUUCAUAAUGUCUGUAACCAGGAAUUUGUGGACUAUAUUUUAAAACAAUAUUCUUUUAAAUUCAUACAUUCUUGCUUUACUUUUACCUUAGGAUUUACUGUUUACUUAUAUAAGUUUAGGAGAAUUUAGCUUUUGAAACCAUAAACUGAAUGAUUAAUUAUAUUCAGCUUCAAAGUAAAUAUUACGAUGCAAAGUCUUCCAUCAUGAGCCCUCAUUACAGAGUCAAUCAUUCAGGUAGCCAACACCAGCAAAGUAAAAAGUUAGCUAUCUUUGACUUUCUUGUUUCCAUCAUUCAACAAGUAUUAACUGCGACUUUUUGGACAGUGUAGAAUAAAGUGGGUUCCACUUGUCCAAAUGUUUCAAGUGGAAAGUUACAAGUUAUAAUACUGGAAAUUACAAGAAGGAAUUAAAAACACUUCAGUCACUCUUGAAGCACCUGGGGCUACUUCUGCUGGAUUCCU